AAACAUCUUUUCUUGAUUUAAUAUGAGAUAUGACCUGCCCUAUGAAUUAUUAAAUGGCCGCGGUAUUCUGACUGUGCAAAGGUAGCAUAAUCAUUAGUUUAUUAAUUGUGAGCUUGUAUGAAUGGUUGGACGAAAUAAUAACUGUCUUUUAUAUAAAAUUAGAAUUUAAAUUUUGAGUUAAAAUGCUUAAAUUUAUUAAAGGACGAGAAGACCCUAUAGAUCUUUAUUUUUUAUUUUUUUUAUUUUUGGUUUAUUUUAAUUGAUUAAAUUUUUUGUUGGGGUGAUAUGGGAAUAUUGUUUAAUUAAACUUUUUAUUUUUAUAUACAAUGAUUUUUGGAUAAAUGACCUUAUUUUAAUGUUAAAAGAUUAGAUACCUUAGGGAUAACAGCGUAAUUUUCUUUGAGAGUUCUUAUUGACAAGAUAGAUUGCGACCUCGAUGUUGGAUUAAGAAUAUUUUUAGGUGUAGGUGCUUUAUUAAUAGGUCUGUUCGACCUUUAAAUUCUUACAUGAUCUG
rnacentral:rRNA from 1 species